UACGGAGGGUGCAAGCGUUAAUCGGAAUUACUGGGCGUAAAGCGCGCGCAGGCGGCUUGUUAAGUCCGCUGUGAAAACCCCGAGCUCAACUUGGGAAUUGCAGUGGAUACUGGCAAGCUGGAGUAUGGUAGAGGAAGGUGGAAUUCCCGGUGUAGCAGUGAAAUGCGUAGAGAUCGGGAGGAACACCAGUGGCGAAGGCGGCCUUCUGGACCAAUACUGACGCUCAUGCACGAAAGCGUGGGGAGCAAACAGG
rnacentral:rRNA from 1 species